GACGAACCGUGCGAACGUUGUUCGGAAUCACUGGGCUUAAAGGGCGCGUAGGCGGCUGGGUAAGUCUCGGGUGAAAUUCGUUUCGGCUCAACCGGAAACGUGCCUGGGAUACUGCUCAGCUAGAGGGAGAUAGGGGCGGACGGAACUUCCGGUGGAGCGGUGAAAUGCGUUGAUAUCGGAAGGAACGCCGGUGGCGAAAGCGGUCCGCUGGAUCUCUACUGACGCUGAGGCGCGAAAGCCAGGGGAGCAAAGCGGG
rnacentral:rRNA from 1 species